rnacentral:rRNA from 1 species
GUUGUAUGGUUAAGUGACUAAGCGUACACGGUGGAUGCCUUGGCAGUCAGAGGCGAUGAAAGACGUAGUAACUUGCGAUAAGCCCAGAUUAGGUAGUAACAACCAUUUGAGUCUGGGAUUUCUGAAUGGGGAAACCCACGUGCAUAAGCACGUAUCCUUACCUGAAUACAUAGGGUAAGGAGGCGAACCGGGGGAACUGAAACAUCUAAGUACCCCGAGGAAAAGAAAUCAACCGAGAUUCCGAAAGUAGCGGCGAGCGAAAUUGGACUAGCCCUUAAGCUUUACACGCGUUAGACGAACGGUCUGGAAAGUCCGACGAUACAGGGUGAUAGUCCCGUAGUUGACGACGUGUGUUCAGUGAAAUCGAGUAGGGCGGGACACGUGAUAUCCUGUCUGAAUAUGGGGGGACCAUCCUCCAAGGCUAAAUACUACUGACUGACCGAUAGUGAACCAGUACCGUGAGGGAAAGGCGAAAAGAACCCCUGUGAGGGGAGUGAAAUAGAACCUGAAACCGUGUACGUACAAGCAGUAGGAGCAGGCUUUGUCCUGUGACUGCGUACCUUUUGUAUAAUGGGUCAGCGACUUAUAUUCAGUGGCAAGGUUAACCAUCUAGGGGAGCCGUAGGGAAACCGAGUCUUAACUGGGCGUUCAGUCUCUGGAUAUAGACCCGAAACCAGGUGAUCUAGCCAUGGGCAGGUUGAAGGUUGAGUAACAUCAACUGGAGGACCGAACCGACUAAUGUUGAAAAAUUAGCGGAUGACUUGUGGCUAGGGGUGAAAGGCCAAUCAAACCUGGAGAUAGCUGGUUCUCCCCGAAAGCUAUUUAGGUAGCGCCUCGGACGAAUACUACUGGGGGUAGAGCACUGUUAAGGCUAGGGGGUCAUCCCGACUUACCAACCCUUUGCAAACUCCGAAUACCAGUAAGUACUAUCCGGGAGACACACGGCGGGUGCUAACGUCCGUCGUGGAGAGGGAAACAACCCAGACCGCCAGCUAAGGUCCCAAAUUACUACUAAGUGGGAAACGAUGUGGGAAGGCUCAGACAGCCAGGAUGUUGGCUUAGAAGCAGCCAUCAUUUAAAGAAAGCGUAAUAGCUCACUGGUCGAGUCGGCCUGCGCGGAAGAUGUAACGGGGCUAAGUAGUAAACCGAAGCUGCGGCAAUAUACUUUUGUAUAUUGGGUAGGGGAGCGUUCUGUAAGCGGUUGAAGGUGUGUGGUAACGCAUGCUGGACGUAUCAGAAGUGCGAAUGCUGACAUGAGUAACGAUAAAGGGGGUGAAAAACCUCCUCGCCGGAAGACCAAGGGUUCCUGUCCAACGUUAAUCGGGGCAGGGUAAGUCGACCCCUAAGGCGAGGCCGAAAGGCGUAGUCGAUGGGAAACGGGUUAAUAUUCCCGUACUUCUUACAAUUGCGAUGGGGGGACGGAGAAGGCUAGGUGGGCCUGGCGACGGUUGUCCAGGUUCAAGUGCGUAGGCUGAGAGAUUAGGUAAAUCCGGUUUCUCUUAAGGCUGAGACACGACGUCGAGCACCUACGGGUGUGAAGUCAUUGAUGCCAUGCUUCCAGGAAAAGCCUCUAAGCUUCAGAUUGUAAGGAAUCGUACCCCAAACCGACACAGGUGGUCGGGUAGAGAAUACCAAGGCGCUUGAGAGAACUCGGGUGAAGGAACUAGGCAAAAUGGUACCGUAACUUCGGGAGAAGGUACGCUCUUGAUGGUGAAGUCCCUUGCGGAUGGAGCUGACGAGAGUCGCAGAUACCAGGUGGCUGCAACUGUUUAUUAAAAACACAGCACUGUGCAAAAUCGUAAGAUGACGUAUACGGUGUGACGCCUGCCCGGUGCCGGAAGGUUAAUUGAUGGGGUUAGACUUCGGUCGAAGCUCUUGAUCGAAGCCCCGGUAAACGGCGGCCGUAACUAUAACGGUCCUAAGGUAGCGAAAUUCCUUGUCGGGUAAGUUCCGACCUGCACGAAUGGCGUAAUGAUGGCCACGCUGUCUCCACCCGAGACUCAGUGAAAUUGAAAUCGCUGUGAAGAUGCAGUGUACCCGCGGCUAGACGGAAAGACCCCGUGAACCUUUACUACAGCUUGGCACUGAACAUUGACCCUACAUGUGUAGGAUAGGUGGGAGGCUUUGAAGCACGUACGCCAGUAUGUGUGGAGCCGUCCUUGAAAUACCACCCUUGUAGUGUUGAUGUUCUAACGUCGACCCCUUAUCGGGGUUGCGGACAGUGCCUGGUGGGUAGUUUGACUGGGGCGGUCUCCUCCCAAAGAGUAACGGAGGAGCACGAAGGUGGGCUAAUCACGGUUGGACAUCGUGAGGUUAGUGCAAUGGCAUAAGCCCGCUUGACUGCGAGAAUGACAAUUCGAGCAGGUGCGAAAGCAGGUCAUAGUGAUCCGGUGGUUCUGAAUGGAAGGGCCAUCGCUCAACGGAUAAAAGGUACUCCGGGGAUAACAGGCUGAUACCGCCCAAGAGUUCAUAUCGACGGCGGUGUUUGGCACCUCGAUGUCGGCUCAUCACAUCCUGGGGCUGAAGUCGGUCCCAAGGGUAUGGCUGUUCGCCAUUUAAAGUGGUACGCGAGCUGGGUUUAGAACGUCGUGAGACAGUUCGGUCCCUAUCUGCCGUGGGCGUUGGAAGAUUGAAGGGGGCUGCUCCUAGUACGAGAGGACCGGAGUGGACGAACCUCUGGUGUUCGGGUUGUGUCGCCAGACGCAUUGCCCGGUAGCUAAGUUCGGAAUCGAUAACCGCUGAAAGCAUCUAAGCGGGAAGCGAGCCCUGAGAUGAGUCUUCCCUGAUACUUUAAGUAUCCUAAAGGGUUGUCGGAGACUACGACGUUGAUAGGUCAGGUGUGUAAGUGCUGUGAGGCAUUGAGCUAACUGAUACUAAUUGCCCGUGAGGCUUAACCAUACAACACCCAAGGGGUUU